rnacentral:rRNA from 1 species
AUUGAACGCUGGCGGCAUGCCUUACACACGCAAGUCGAACGGCAGCACGGGAGCAAUCCUGGUGGCGAGUGGCGAACGGGUGAGUAAUAUAUCGGAACGUGCCCAGUAGUGGGGGAUAACUGCUCGAAAGAGCAGCUAAUACCGCAUACGACCCGAGGGUGAAAGGGGGGGAUCGCAAGACCUCUCGCUAUUGGAGCGGCCCAUAUCAGAUUAGCUAGUUGGUGGGGUAAAGGCCCACCAAGGCAACGAUCUGUAGUUGGUCUGAGAGGACGACCAGCCACACUGGGACUGAGACACGGCCCAGACCCCUACGGGAGGCAGCAGUGGGGAAUUUUGGACAAUGGGCGCAAGCCUGAUCCAGCAAUGCCGCGUGCAGGAAGAAGGCCUUCGGGUUGUAAACUGCUUUUGUCAGGGAAGAAAUCCUCUAGGUUAAUACCCUUGGGGGGAUGACGGUACCUGAAGAAUAAGCACCGGCUAACUACGUGCCAGCCGCCGCCGUAAAAC